rnacentral:lncRNA from 1 species
AAAACCUCUACGGUUGCUUGCGCCGGUAAAGGGCCUUCUUUGUCGUCUGCCUCCAGGUAGCGGACGGCAAAGGCCUUUGUCAUCCGUCAUCGAUGGCAAGCAGAUGACAAAGAGGUUAGACAGCAGCCCGCAUGCACCACAUCACAUCACAUCACAUAAAUCAUUGACAGUUUCUCUUCUUCUUCUUUCCUUAUCCUAUUCUUUUUCUUCUCCUCCUCUUCUUCUACUUCUUCUUCUUCUUUCCUUCUCCUCUUCUUCUUAUUCUUCUUCCUCUUCUUAUUCUUCUUCUUCUUCUUCUUCUUCUUCUUAUUAUUAUUAUUAUUAUUAUUAUUAUUCCUUCUUUUCCUUUUUCCUCUUCUUUCUUCUCCUCUUCUUCUUCUUCUCCUCCUCCUCCUCCUC